rnacentral:rRNA from 1 species
CCGUUGCUCGGAGAAGUCUGACGGAGCACGCCGCGUGAGUGAAGAAGGUUUUCGGAUCGUAAAACUCUGUUGUAAGGGAAGAACAAGUACGUUAGUAACUGAACGUACCUUGACGGUACCUUACCAGAAAGCCACGGCUAACUACGUGCCAGCAGCCGCGGUAAUACGUAGGUGGCAAGCGUUAUCCGGAAUUAUUGGGCGUAAAGCGCGCGUAGGCGGUCUCUUAAGUCUGAUGUGAAAGCCCCCGGCUCAACCGGGGAGGGUCAUUGGAAACUGGGAGACUUGAGUGCAGAAGAGGAGAGUGGAAUUCCAUGUGUAGCGGUGAAAUGCGCAGAGAUAUGGAGGAACACCAGUGGCGAAGGCGGCUCUCUGGUCUGUAACUGACGCUGAGGUGCGAAAG